rnacentral:misc_RNA from 1 species
UUGAAGAACGCAGCGAAAUGCGAUAAGUAAUGUGAAUUGCAGAAUUCAGUGAAUCAUCGAAUCUUUGAACGCACAUUGCGCCCGCCAGUAUUCUGGCGGGCAUGCCUGUUCGAGCGUCAUUUCAACCAUCAAGCCCCCGGCUUGUGUUGGGGACCUGCGGCUGCCGCAGGCCCUGAAAACCAGUGGCGGGCUCGCUAGUCACUCCGAGCGUAGUAAUACAUCUCGCUCAGGGCGUGCUGCGGGUUCCGGCCGUUAAAAAGCCUUAUUUACCCAAGGUUGACCUCGGAUCAGGUAGGAAGACCCGCUGAACUUAAGCAUAUCAAUAAGCGGAGGA